GACUACUGGGGUAUCUAAUCCUGUUUGAUCCCCACACUUUCGUGCAUCAGCGUCAGUUACAGUCUAGUAAGCUGCCUUCGCUAUCGGUGUUCUUGACGAUAUCUAAGCAUUUCACCGCUACACCGUCAAUUCCGCCUACCUCGUCUGUACUCAAGUCUUACAGUAUCAAUUGCACCUCUCCAGUUAAGCUGAAGUAUUUCACAACUGACUUAUAAGACCGCCUACGCACCCUUUAAACCCAAUAAAUCCGGACAACGCUUGCCACCUACGUAUUACCGCGGCUGCUGGCACGUAGUUAGCCGUGGCUUAUUCACCAGGUACCUUCAAUUGACCACGCAUGGUCUUUUUAUCCCCUGGCAAAAGCAGUUUACAACCCAGAAGGCCGUCUUCCUGCACGCGGCAUGGCUGGAUCAGGCUCGCACCCAUUGUCCAAUAUUCCCCACUGCAGCCGCCCGUAGG
rnacentral:rRNA from 1 species